CCAUGAGCCGAGCCAGAGUUGAACCAAACCCAAUUCGAAAGGGCGUGGAUCCCUGCAACGUCGCGAAGGAAUCGACGUUGAGAGACGAACAAAGGAUCCGAAGCGAGACGAGAGAUUUGCCGACCGACAAGGUAGGAGGGUCGUUGCGGAGGAAGAACGCCCUUCGACUCGUUACGAGGAGGAUGAGGGGCAGAAGCUAUUGGAUCGUAGAAGUCGCUAGGGGGGAGCCUUCAUCGACUCCUACUCCAAGGCCCGCACUCGUCGAGUGUUUUCGUUGGGGAACCACGUGGAUUUGGGUUUUUUUCGGUAUGUUGAUCCGGCUGAAGCCAAUUAUCAAAUGGACAGGCAAAUUCUUCUUGGUCAGGAAUCAACUGUUGUAUUUGCAGAGGACAACAGAAAAAAAGCCCUCCGAGAUGAGGGCAAGAGAAGGAAGCGGCCAUGUGUAUGACCACUGAAGAACACCACGUCGCUCCCUCUCACCUUGCUAUUCUCGCUCCCGUUCUCACUCACCGCAAUAUUUGCACCCUCCAUGCGGUGGUAGGUCAUGUUCGAUAAACCUUCUCCGCCAAGGAGGCACCACUCCUAGGUACCUUGCACUUGAAGAGAAUAAGCAACUCUUUGUAAUUUGUGAAGCUAUACCCGGAAGGUUCAAGCUUGACAAGGGAGAAGCCACCAAUUGCUAGCUUCCUUGAUCUAUUGUUUCUCUAUCUGCACCAAAUCACAACAUCCUCCUUCAUUUGGGUUUGGAUUUUUUUUUAUAUUUAAAUUGUUCUUAUGUGGAAUAUUGAAGAAUGUAAUCAUAAAUAUUUUUAGUACUUUUUAAAUUCAAAAAUAAUGUUGGAUUUUUAACUACUA